CAGCAGCCACGGUAAAACGAGGGGAGCUAGCGUUAUUCGGAAUUACUGGGCGUAAAGCGCACGUAGGCGGCUUUGUAAGUUAGAGGUGAAAGCCCAGAGCUCAACUCUGGAAUUGCCUUUAAGACUGCAUCGCUUGAAUCCAGGAGAGGUGAGUGGAAUUCCGAGUGUAGAGGUGAAAUUCGUAGAUAUUCGGAAGAACACCAGUGGCGAAGGCGGCUCACUGGACUGGUAUUGACGCUGAGGUGCGAAAGCGUGGGGAGCAAACAGGAUUAGAUACCCCCGUAGUCCCUGUCUCUUAUAC
rnacentral:rRNA from 1 species